rnacentral:rRNA from 1 species
CCUACGGGCGGCUGCAGUGGGGAAUAUUGCACAAUGGGCGCAAGCCUGAUGCAGCCAUGCCGCGUGUGUGAAGAAGGCCUUCGGGUUGUAAAGCACUUUCAGCGGGGAGGAAGGCGGUGAGGUUAAUAACCUCAUCGAUUGACGUUACCCGCAGAAGAAGCACCGGCUAACUCCGUGCCAGCAGCCGCGGUAAUACGGAGGGUGCAAGCGUUAAUCGGAAUUACUGGGCGUAAAGCGCACGCAGGCGGUCUGUCAAGUCGGAUGUGAAAUCCCCGGGCUCAACCUGGGAACUGCAUUCGAACUGGCAGGCUAGAGUCUUGUAGAGGGGGGUAGAAUUCCAGGUGUAGCGGUGAAAUGCGUAGAGAUCUGGAGGAAUACCGGUGGCGAAGGCGGCCCCCUGGACAAAGACUGACGCUCAGGCGCGAAAGCGUGGGGAGCAAACAGGAUUAUAUACCCCGGUAGUC